rnacentral:piRNA from 2 species
UGGUUUUGAGAAGGAACCGGCCUC